GGGUAUCAGACGAGGGCUUAAGCAUUUUCUCCAUGAUUAUGAUCUCAAGCUUAUGUAUGGGAUUUAUAAGGCAUCCUCUUCUGGUGGCAUGAAACUUGAGCCAAAGGCUUUUGGUGGGGCUUUCCCCGCUCAGUGUCCAUGCUGAUUGUUUUCUGCAGAGAGCAUUUUCAAGAAGGCAAUGUUCAAAUUAAGAUCUGCAACAGCUUUAGUAGACAGGAGUAUAUAUCAUAUAUGCUUGUGGGUCUUGCGUUUGAGUCUACUCUUUUUCUCUUGAAUGGUUCUUCAGCCAACAUCUUUAAUCCUUUCUUU